GCCGGUGUAGCUCAGCGGUUAUUUAAAACCGUAAAGAGCGCUAGACUCAUAAUCUAGAGGUCGCGGGUUCGAAUCCCGCCACCGGCA
rnacentral:tRNA from 1 species